CAGGCCAUUAUUACAAAACCAACGUCAUAAUAACAAUGCCGAGACCACCCAGAAUCUCAAGGAAGAGAGCAGCCAACAAUAGGCACGGACAGUUACCUGCUGGGGCCUGAGCCCGUCCUGAGCUCUGCCUCUGCCUCCGAGAACUGCACAAAAACCCUGGGCCCCAGACACAGGAAAAUGUCAGUCAUAUCUGACGGGUGAAACCUCGAAGCAAGAGAGGAGCCCGGAGAGAGGCCAAGGGGGAGGCGCGGAGCACACGAAGCAGGGAGAAGAAGGGAGAAGUCAGAGUUUGGAUUCUAACCCAGGUCUGUGAGCCCACAGGACAGAAAUCUUUUCCACCACACAGAACCCACAAUGAACAACAAGGCACCGUCUACACAGUCGGGUACCUAGACAGAUUUGAAAUAAAUCCAUGGCACUGAAAUUCA